rnacentral:rRNA from 1 species
GAUAUGCUUAUCUCAAAGAUUAAGCCAUGCAUGUCUAAGUAUAAAUCAUUUAUACAGGUGAAACUGCGAAUGGCUCAUUAAAUCAGUUAUAAUUUAUUUGAUAGUACAAUUACUACUUGGAUAACCGUGGUAAUUCUAGAGCUAAUACAUGCUAAAAUUCCCGACUUCUGGAAGGGAUGUAUUUAUUAGAUAAAAAACCAAUAUCGGGAAACCGAUUCCCAUGGUGAUUCAUAAUAACUUUUCGAAUCGCAUGACUUUACGUCGGCGAUGAAUCAUUCAAAUUUCUGCCCUAUCAACUUUCGAUGGUAGGACAGAGGCCUACCAUGGUGGUAACGGGUAACGGGGUGUUAGGGCACGACACCGGAGAGGGAGCCUGAGAAACGGCUACCACAUCCAAGGAUGGCAGCAGGCGCGCAAAUUACCCAAUCCCGACACGGGGAGGUAGUGACAAUAAAUAACAAUACGGGGUUCUUUCGGAUUUCGUAAUUGGAAUGAGUACAAUUUAAAUCUCUUAACGAGGAACAAUUGGAGGGCAAGUCUGGUGCCAGCAGCCGCGGUAAUUCCAGCUCCAAUAGCGUAUAUUAAAGUUGCUGCAGUUAAAAAGCUCGUAGUUGAAUUUCGGGACUAAUAUGUCGGUCGUGCCUCGGUACGUACUGGUUUAUUGGUUUCUCCUUUCUGAAGAACCAUGAUGUCAUUUAUUUGGUGUCGUGGGGAAUCAGGACUGUUACUUUGAAAAAAUUAGAGUGUUUAAAGCAGGCUCACGCUUGAAUACAUUAGCAUGGAAUAAUGAAAUAGGACGUUUGAUUCUAUUUUGUUGGUUUCUAGGAUCGACGUAAUGAUUAAUAGGGAUAGUUGGGGGCAUUAGUAUUCAAUUGUCAGAGGUGAAAUUCUUGGAUUUAUUGAAGACUAACUACUGCGAAAGCAUUUGCCAAGGAUGUUUUCAUUAAUCAAGAACGAAAGUUAGGGGAUCGAAGACGAUCAGAUACCGUCGUAGUCUUAACCAUAAACUAUGCCGACUAGGGAUCGGAUGAUGUUAAUUUUUUAAUGACUCAUUCGGCGCCUUACGGGAAACCAAAGUGUUUGGGUUCCGGGGGGAGUAUGGUCGCAAGGCUGAAACUUAAAGGAAUUGACGGAAGGGCACCACCAGGGGUGGAGCCUGCGGCUUAAUUUGACAACACGGGGAAACUCACCAGGUCCAGACACAGUAAGGAUUGACAGACCAAAAAG